UACGAAGGGGGCUAGCGUUGCUCGGAAUCACUGGGCGUAAAGCGCACGUAGGCGGAUCUUUAAGUCAGGGGUGAAAUCCCGGAGCUCAACUCCGGAACUGCCUUUGAUACUGGGGAUCUUGAGUUCGAGAGAGGUGAGUGGAACUGCGAGUGUAGAGGUGAAAUUCGUAGAUAUUCGCAAGAACACCAGUGGCGAAGGCGGCUCACUGGCGCGAUACUGACGCUGAGGUGCGAAAGCGUGGGGAGCGAACAGG
rnacentral:rRNA from 1 species